GCCUCAGUAACGGCGAGUGAAGCGGCAAUAGCUCAAAUUUGAAAUCUGCUCUUUGAGCCGAAUUGUAAUUUGUAGAGGAUGCUUCGGCUUACGUUUCGGUCUAAGUUCCUUGGAACAGGACGUCAUAGAGGGUGAGAAUCCCGUCUGUGGCCGAGACUUCCGCCAUGUGAAGCUCCUUCGACGAGUCGAGUUGUUUGGGAAUGCAGCUCUAAAUGGGAGGUAUAUUUCUUCUAAAGCUAAAUACCGGCCAGAGACCGAUAGCGCACAAGUAGAGUGAUCGAAAGAUGAAAAGCACUUUGGAAAGAGAGUUAAAAAGUACGUGAAAUUGUUGAAAGGGAAGCGUUUGCGACCAGACUUGCCCGCGGAUGCUCAACCGGUCCUUCGGCCGGUGCACUCUUCCGCGGUCAGGCCAGCAUCAGUUCGAGUAGCCAGAUAAAGGCAUUGGGAAUGUGGCUCUCUUCGGGGAGUGUUAUAGCCCUUUGUGUAAUAUGGUUCAUUUGGACUGAGGCCCGCGCUUCGGCUAGGAUGCUGGCGUAAUGGUCGUAAGCGGCCCGUCUUGAAACACGGACCAAGGAGUCUAACAUCUAUGCGAGUGUUUGGGUGUCAAACCCGUGCGCGAAAUGAAAGUGAACGGAGGUGGGAACCUUUGGGUGCACCAUCGACCGAUCCUGAUGUCUUCGGAUGGAUUUGAGUAAGAGCAUAGCUGUUGGGACCCGAAAGAUGGUGAACUAUGCCUGAAUAGGGUGAAGCCAGAGGAAACUCUGGUGGAGGCUCGCAGCGGUUCUGACGUGCAAAUCGAUCGUCAAAUUUGGGUAUAGGGGCGAAAGACUAAUCGAACCAU
rnacentral:rRNA from 1 species